GCUGUACUGUGGGAGCUGGUUAGGAGGUCUUAGUCAGGGUGAAAAGUUAUUUCUUUGUCUAGUGCUGGCACCUGAAGUCCACAGGCAGUUGGGAAAAGAAGAUGGAUGUGAAGUAGAGCAAGCAAAGACAAGUUGGAUAAAAGGGAAGGUGGUGCCUUCCAUCACAGAGCUAAAUACGCAUCUGGUCCAAGAGUCAGGGAAGCUGAUCCAGCAGGAGGAUCUGGCAGAGGCCCAGCUGCUGCCCCAGGCCCUCAAGCUCUAUGUCCUUGGACCAGAUACUGCAUUGAUGAGUAUAUGUUUCAAAGUUUUGUUGUACAAAUGAAAUGAAAAGACAUAGCACAUAAUGUACGGUAAGUGGCUUAUAAUUGGCACCCAAUGAAUGGAAAUGGUUAUUAUCACAAGUCUUUUGAUCUUGGGAAUACUAAUAUGUUAGUUGAAAUAGAGGGUUUUUAAAAAGGCUUUUCUCUUUAUUCUACACCUAGUGAUUUUAAAAAACAACAGGGUUGAUUAGUAGUUACUGGGGCUGCAUAUUUAAAUGCAGCUGAGUUUUGUACAUUUAGAUCCAAGUCUGGGUGACAUUGCACUAGUCAGUUAAAGUCUCUGGGUGUUAGAAUCCUCAUCUGUAAAUUAAUGGAGUUGGACCAGCUAAUCUUUAAGGUCCCCCCCCCCCAC
rnacentral:lncRNA from 1 species